rnacentral:tRNA from 1 species
GACGAUAUUGCCAAGCGGUAAGGCGGAAGAUUGCAAAUCUUUUAUUCCCCAGUUCGAUUCUGGGUAUCGUUU